GGUUCUCAUGAGAGGCAAGUAUGCUAACCAACUAGACUACAGCGGAUUUUAUUUUACAGAUUCUAGAAUGGUGAAUAAUUUUUCUGCUUCAGACUAAAACACUGGACAUCCUCCUUUCUCCCUCUCUAUUCUCCAUUCCCCUUACCCAAUUCCUUCCCCCACAUCCUUUACAGCUGCUAGUGAUUGCAUAAGUGCCCAUCCCCACACACUAUAAUAUCAGAGCUCUCUCUUCAGGUUCAUUUUCUCAUACAUGCUCGCCCAUGUGAUGCGUGCUCAUUACGUGUUUGGUAAAUUUCCUUAUAGAAGACGAUGCAUUUCAUUCUGAAAUCUUUGAAAUGGCAAAGCUUUUUGCUGCAAAAUAUCAAGACCCAGAAACACAGACAUGUUUUUUUGUCUCUCUACUGCACAAUGCUGCCAAACCUGGCACUGCCCGAGCUGCAGGAGCUGUGUAGUGUUGUUUCAAGCACAGUUGGUGGUUUGGAUGAAUUAGAGUUGGGGUUAAAUAAAUUUACAGGUUCUUUAACAUCGUCACUUGUGACCCAGAUAAUAGAUUCUUGCAAGCAGGAAGCACCCACUAGAAGAUUGCUGAGAUUCUUUUUGUGGUCUCAUAAGAAUUUGAAGUGUGGUUUGGAAGACAAGGAUUACAAUUAUGCCAUUCGGGUGUUUGCAGAGAAGAAAGAUCACACAGCAAUGGAUAUAUUGAUUUCGGAUCUUGGGAAGGAGGGUCGGGUAAUGGACACUCAUACUUUCAGUGUUGUAGCUGACAUGUUGGUUAAACUAGGGAGAGAAGAUGAGGCAUUGGGUAUUUUCAAGAACUUGGACAAGUACAAGUGCCCCCAAGAUGGAGUUACCGUUACUGCAAUUGUUAGCUCUUUAUGUGCAAAAGGGCAUGCUAGGAGAGCGGAGGGGGUUGUGUGGCAUCACAAGGAUAAGAUUUCUGGAAUAGAGCCUUGCAUUUACAAGAGACUUCUUUAUGGUUGGUCUGAGCAGGAGAAUGUGAAGGAAGCACGAAGGAUUAUCAAAGAGAUGAAGUCGGCUGGGUUUAUGCCAGAUUUAUCUUGCUAUAACACAUUCCUUAGAUGCCUUUGUGAGAGGAAUCUUAAACGUAAUCCUUCCGGUCUUGUUCCUGAGGCCUUGAAUGUGAUGAUGGAAAUGAGGUCUUAUAAGAUUUCCCCAACCUCAAUUAGUUAUAAUAUUUUGCUUUCUUGUCUUGGAAGGACAAGAAGAGUGAAGGAGUCUUGUCGAAUUCUUGAGAUAAUGAAGAAGUCAGGUUGUUCUCCGGAUUGGACUACCUAUUAUCUUGUUGCAAGGGUAUUGUAUUUGACUGGGAGACAUGGUAAAGGUAAUCAGAUAGUGGAUGAGAUGAUUGGGACGGGGUUGAUACCAAAUCGUAAGUUUUACUAUGAUUUGAUUGGUAUUCUAUGUGGAGUUGAGAGGGUGAAUCAUGCUCUUGAGCUCUUUGAGCGAAUGAAGAGGAGUUCAUUGGGUGGUUAUGGGCCAGUUUAUGAUGUGCUCAUACCAAAAGUUUGCAGUGGAGGGGACUUUGAGAAGGGGAGAGAGCUUUGGAAUGAAGCCACGAGAUUGGGUGUUACUCUUCGUUGCUCAAGUGAUGUGUUAGAUGCUUCAAUCACUGAGGUUUUUAAGCCAACAAGGAAAUUGGAAACAACCAGCCUUGCGGACUGCUCCACAGCCAAGAACUGGGAACAAGUGACAAAUAAUAUUGAAAAAGCAAAGAAGAAAAAGAAUUAUAUGAAUAAAAAGAAUGAUAAGAAGAAAAAGAAGACUUCCACUUCAAUUUGAUUAGUUUAUAUCUCCUUCUACAAAGCUGUCAUGACUCAUGAGGCAUUCUUUUUCUGUGAGCACAUUUAUAGAUAUGUUUGUUGGCAAUCAACAAAUGUAAUGUUCUGGCUGAAUCAUAAUUUAGAGAUUGUUCUCCUCUGGUUGUAUAAUUUGAUGUGUCAAAAAUUGUAUUGUGUUUGUGUUAUUGCAGUCUAUGACUUCCCUUCAACUGCCUUAGUUACCAUGGUCAUUUAUCUUGCAGAGUCAUGCCUAUUGAUCCAUGCCUUGUGGGAGAAUGUGACAUGUUUCUGGGAAUGAUGGACAACUUAUGUUCAGCUUGGCCAUCAGAAAAUUGUUCAAAUGCCACAUUGGCGUUGAAGAUUUCAUUGACCUCUAUCUCUAAGAGGGUUAGAGGGGUCUCUGUAGUUUUCUAUUUACAUUAUUUUGGAUGUAAGGAAAAGAAAGAUGAGAAAGCAAAAGCAGGUGAGGAAGAGCUAAUUCCUUUGUUUGGUGUUUGAAUGAAAAUGGAAGAGGUAAUUCCAUUUUGGCCCUCAAUUUCACGUAGGUCCUAUUUGGAGGGAGCCCAAAGGAAAAGAAGCUGUGGCUGACAGCAGUGGAGCUGGGACUUCCGAAGGGCCGCCAUCCUCUCCUAAAAGAUGUGGACGUUACCAUCAACCCUUCAAAAGGCUUAGCUCUUGUGGAAAGCAGAUCAUCUGAUAAGAAUGAUGAGGUUGAUAAGCUCUCGGAUCUUACUCAGCCAAAUGCUUUGAAUGGAUACUCUGUGGAUCCUAUAAAGGGUAUUCUUGAAGAUAGCAACACUGUUGCUAGUUUAUGCUUAAGUUCCAGACGAGAUUCCCAAGAAAAUUUGGAGGCUGAAGAUGCAGGCCUGCAAGAAAUGGAAAAUGGUGCUUUGCAGCAGAUUAGCUCUGUUGAUUCAGAAUUGGUCAAAGAGGAGGAAGUCAGCUCAGUAGAUGGUGAAAGAGGUCGAGGGCUACAGACAGCACAAGUGGUUAUGAAUAUGCUUGAUAUAACCAUGCCUGGUACUCUAACAGAAGGUCUUGACUGCUGUGGAUCAAGGAGAGACGCUUGUGAAAGCUUGGCAAGAUGCUGUGCCAGAAGAUGUUCGUGAAAAGCUUACAACCGCUGUAACUGGAAUUUUGCAUACCCAAGGCACAAACUUAAAUUUUAAUGGACUUCUUGAUAUUGCUCGGAUCUGAUGUUUCAACAGGAUUGAAGGCCUAAAUCCAAGAAAAAGUUGGAAUAUCAGGUGGAGAAGGUUUAAACACUGACCAUCUUUCUUCAGACCAGAUAAAAAGGGCUGAUGACCUCACGGAUAGCUUGAAUGACGCUCAACCUGGCGUAGGCAAACCUACUGGGGAUCUAGAAUCAGAUCCAUCUCAAUCGACAUGGGGUGAUGGAGUUGAUAUAUCUGGUUCAGUCAAGGACACCAGUGAGUCAGGAAAUAAUGAUGAAUAUUUCUCUAAAGAAAAAUCUGCUCCAUAUCUUUACAAUGGUGAGCUUGGAUCAGAAACAGAUGUCAAGCCAACAAUUGAUGAGAAAAAAGGUCAGGAUGGUGGAAUAGCUCAAAUAGAGGAAAAAGAGGAGAAUAAUAACUAGGAAACGGGAGAUUUUUGAACUGACCAAGGCAGGGUGGCAUCAUCCAGUAUAACAGAAGUACUUCCUGGGACCUCCUCUGAUGCUGAUGCGAUGGGAAAUUAACAGGGGUGGAUGAUUCCACCAGUGGCUGUGAACAGUGUUUUUGGUGUACUAGAAAAUAUGAUAGCUCAAGUGGAGGAGGGUUCAGAUGAUGAAAAUGGAGACAAGGACAGGAAUGGCAUUAAGGAGAAGAAAAUUGAUUCUGGUUCCGACCAACAUAGCAUCAUUGAUGACCACAAAUUGGACGAGGAAGAAGAAAACAAAAAUACACAAAGCAUUCAGUCUGAUAAUUUAGAUGAUCCUUUUGUAUAUAAUCACCAUGAGAUUAGCAUUCAUUCACAGCAGAUACAAGAACUGGAAGGGUAGAGGAGGAAACCACACAAAACCUCAAUUCCUCUAAUGGGAAAAGUAUGGAUAGGUCUCAGGGUAGUGAGACUAACAUCCGUGUUGCUCAGUACAAAAAUGAAAAGAAGGAUCAAUUAGCUGGCAGCAAACUUCUUGCUGAUAAUCCAGAUAAGCUUAGACAUGUAAAUAGUAUUCCACUGCACGUAACUGCAAAUCCAUAUGGGACCUCUUUAUACACUGAAUAUUUACGUAUAGUAGUAAUUAUACAUAUGGUAGUGUAACUUGUCUUAUCUCUUGCUCUUGUUAUAUGAUUAAAAGCUUGAUUCAGCUGUGCCUUCCCAACAUGGCCAUGCAAAA